rnacentral:rRNA from 1 species
AGUGAACGCUGGCGGUAGGCCUAACACAUGCAAGUCGAACGGCAGCACAGUAAGAGCUUGCUCUUACGGGUGGCGAGUGGCGGACGUGUGAGGAAUACAUCGGAAUCUACUUUUUCGUGGGGGAUAACGUAGGGAAACUUACGCUAAUACCGCAUACGACAUACGGGUGAAAGCAGGGGAUCUUCGGACCUUGCGCGAUUGAAUGAGCCGAUGUCGGAUUAGCUAGUUGGGGGGGUAAAGGCCCACCAAGGCGACGAUCCGUAGCUGGUCUGAGAGGAUGAUCAGCCACACUGGAACUGGGACACGGUCCAGACUCCUACGGGAGGCAGCAGUGGGGAAUAUUGGACAAUGGGCGCAAGCCUGAUCCAGCCAUACCGCGUGGGUGAAGAAGGCCUUCGGGUUGUAAAGCCCUUUUGUUGGGAAAGAAAAGCAGCAGGUUAAUACCCCGCUGUUCUGACGGUACCCAAAGAAUAAGCACCGGCUAACUUCGUG